CAACUCAGAGACAUAUCCUCAGAGGAAGAAAAAUAUACUAACAAUGAUAGUGUUGUGAACAAGGAAUUUGGAAACAAGGUCCAGUCCAUUUAUGCCUACGUCCACAAGAGUAUUGAGCGACUACCACAAUAUAUUAGAGAAUAAGGAUUCGUGCUCUUCUAUAAUAGGUUUACAUAACACAUAAAUAUAUAGUCAUCUACCCCAACCCCUUUCAUCAGCUGAAGUCCAAUGGAAUCAAUGACUAUAAGUCCCUAAGGUCAUGGGUUCGGGUCGUGGAGGCUCCCUCUUGGGAGAAUAAAACACUUCAGAGGAAAUUUAAGCUUAAUAAGUGGCACACUUAAAAAAUUCAUGGUCCCGAUGGAUCACAUGUCAAGGCUGGGUAUGUUACAUAGUACACUCUUGCAUCAUAAAGUCAUAAAGUCUUUGGUUCAAAUACUAGUUUGUUAGAGAUAUUAUCCGCUACUUUAAUGUCUCUCUAUCUCUUUUGGUGACAUUAAAUUCAUAAUGUGGUACAUCGCUUCAUCUGAUAGACAAAGU
rnacentral:lncRNA from 1 species